rnacentral:rRNA from 1 species
GACGAACGCUGGCGGCGUGCUUAACACAUGCAAGUCGAACGAUGAAGCCCAGCUCGCUGGGUGGAUUAGUGGCGAACGGGUGAGUAACACGUGGGCAACCUGCCCCAAACUGCGGGAAACUGUAGCUAAUACCGGAUACGACCCUCGGAGGCAUCUCCUGGGGGUGGAAAGAAUUUCGGUCAAGGAUGGACUCGCGGCCUAUCAGCUAGUUGGUGAGGUAAAGGCUCACCAAGGCGACGACGGGUAGCCGGCCUGAGAGGGUGACCGGCCACACUGGGACUGAGACACGGCCCAGACUCCUACGGGAGGCAGCAGUGGGGAAUAUUGCACAAUGGGCGCAAGCCUGAUGCAGCAACGCCGCGUGAGGGAUGACGGCCUUCGGGUUGUAAACCUCUUUUAGCAGGGAAGAAGCGAAAGUGACGGUACCUGCAGAAAAAGCACCGGCUAACUACGUGCCAGCCGCCGCCGUAA